UCACCACGUGGCAGAAGACCUUAGUGACAACGCACACAUAUAUGUAUACCGCCCCAUCUGCAGGCGGCUGAUAGUACAACAAUCUUACCAAACACACAUCAACUGAAAACCCGGCAAUGGCGGAGAAGACAAGCGAUAAAACAGAGGAGUACGAGGAGUACGAUAUGGAGCCUGAGAAGUACGUACACUCGGGACAUAGCGGGAAAGGCCGGACGAAAAAGGAGGCAAGUCAGCAUACAAACCAUCCCGACCCCUGCGGUCACGUGAGGAAAACCACCCAGAAACUCAUCAAUAACAGCCAUAACCAGCGUAAGGUGCCUGAGUCCAAAUAAUAGGAGCGAACCUGGCGACUCCUGGAAAGUAUUUGCCCAGUGAAGUAAAGGCCUAGAGGACUGCAUGAACAAUAGUGACAGACUAGCCAGGACUGAAGGACUGAAAUGAUGAACCAUAAAUAAACCGACGUCGUUAUCUGAUAUAAGUUUGUAUUUGUUAAGAAUAAAUAAAUGAAGAUCGUUGUUCAAACUGUUAUA